UGAAGAUUUAGAUUUGGAGAAUGAUGUUGAAGAUGAUUAAGAUUUCAGUGAGAUGUGAGUUCUUUGGCAUUUUGUACAAUCAUGUCAAUAAGAUCAACACUGAAACCAGUGGCCAAGCUCACUCCACCAACACAAGAAGGCCCAGAUCCAUGUAGACUUAAUCGAUAAUUUACCAAGGCAUCAUGGGUGUCUUCAUUAUUUUGUGCACUAUUAACCACACAGUCAUCACACUCACAAUAUCUCCAGUGGAAGUCACAACAGGUGUGAUCUGCUGAUAAAUCAAAACUAUUGAAAUAGAUCAAUGCUUGUGAUGGUAAGCCAUCUCUUCCACAUCGUCCAGCCUCUUGAAAGUACUCUUCGAUGG